GAUGAACGCUGGCGGUAUGCAUAACACAUGCAAGUCGAACGGUCUGGAAACAGACAGUGGCGGACGGGUGAGUAACGCGUGAGAAUCUAACUUGUGGUUCGGGAUAACCACUGGAAACGGUGGCUAAGACCGGAUGUGCCGGGAGGUGAAAGGGAGACCGCCACAAGAGGAGCUCGCGUCCGAUUAGCUAGAUGGUGGGGUAAAGGCCUACCAUGGCGACGAUCGGUAGCUGGUCUGAGAGGACGAACAGCCACACUGGGACUGAGACACGGCCCAG
rnacentral:rRNA from 1 species